GCUUACGGCCACACCGGCCUGAGUACGCCUGAUCUCGUCCGAUCUCGGAAGCUAAGCAGGGUCGGGCCUGGUUAGUACUUGGAUGGGAGAUCCGCCUGGGAAUACCAGGUGCUGUAAGCU
ensembl:rRNA 5S_rRNA 5S ribosomal RNA